rnacentral:rRNA from 1 species
UACGGGGGGGGCAAGCGUUGUUCGGAAUUACUGGGCGUAAAGGGCUCGUAGGCGGCCAACUAAGUCAGACGUGAAAUCCCUCGGCUUAACCGGGGAACUGCGUCUGAUACUGGAUGGCUUGAGAUUGGGAGAGGGAUGCGGAAUUCCAGGUGUAGCGGUGAAAUGCGUAGAUAUCUGGAGGAACACCGGUGGCGAAGGCGACAUCCUGGACCAACACUGACGCUGAGGUGCGAAAGCCAGGGGAGCAAACGGG